GGCGGGACCGACGCUCAGGCCCCGCCUCCCGCGGCGGCCAGGCCGCACGGGGAGGCCGGGCGGCGGCGUCACGGCGCGUCGCGGCGGCGAUGACGUGCCGGGGGCGCCGGCUGGCGCGCGCGGCCGGGGCUCGGCAUGAGGACUUUAUGGAGAUUCGGAUACUCUGCCAGACUACUGAAAACUAAUCAUUUUAGGACAGCUGUAUCAAAUACAUCAUUUCCAGCAGUUUGGAUGCUCUUGGCGCAAUAUUCUGGCAGAAUACCUAGACCCUUUGUAGUAGUUCAAAGAAACAGUUUCUUUACAAUGCCUGAAAGUGUGGAGGAUAAAGCUGAUCUAGAACUGUAUUCGCCACCUGCUAAAGUGCGUGGAAUGACACAACUCGAUAGAGAAGCUUUCAAAAGGACAGUUGUUGUUCCAGUUCUUAAAGUUAAGAAAGAAAUAAUAGGUACUUUGUUAAAGUCCUUAAAACAUACAGUGCUACAGCGUCCUGGUCUAAAACGAGUGAUUGAAGAUCCGGAGGAUGAGAACAGCAGACUUCUUAUAUUGGAUCCUCAUAAAGUAUCAGAAUUCUCAUUGGGAGAAUCAGAGCAAGAGGUAUUAAAACAGUUUAAUGUUCCUCCUGCGGUAUGCAAGUAUGACUUGGAGCUGACUUACGACAAUUUCAAGUCGGAGGAGAUCCUACGAGCAGUCCUUCCCGAAGGUCAAGAUGUCACCUCUGGCUUCAGCCGUGUUGGUCACAUAGCACAUUUGAAUCUUAGAGAUCAUCAGCUACCUUACAGACAUUUGAUUGGCCAGGUUAUAAUUGACAAGAAUCCAGGAGUCACCUGUGUAGUGAAUAAAACCAGUAUUAUUGACAACACAUACAGAAAUUUUCAAAUGGAAGUGCUAGCUGGAGAGAGCAACCUGGUAACCAAGGUCAAAGAAAAUAAUAUUGCAUAUGAAUUGGACUUCUCGAAAGUCUACUGGAAUCCCCGUCUUUCCACAGAGCAUGGCCGUAUUGUUGAGCUUUUAAAGCCUGGUGAUGUUCUUUUCGAUGUCUUUGCUGGGGUUGGACCUUUUGCUAUUCCAGCAGCAAAGAAAAAGUGCAGUGUAUUUGCAAAUGAUCUCAAUCCUGAAUCCUACAACUGGCUUCUGCACAACUGUAAACUAAACAAAGUAUAUGACAAAAUAAAAGCAUUCAACAUGGAUGGCAGGGACUUUCUCCUGGGGCCAGUUAGAGAAGAACUAAGUAAAGAGCUUCCACUUCAAACAGAAGAACAGAAAACUUCUUUUCAUAUAGUCAUGAAUUUGCCAGCUUUGGCUCUUGAAUUUCUGGAUGUUUUCAGACAUCUCUUAGUCGGAGAGCCAUGCAGCACUGCUGUCCUUCCCACAGUGCACUGCUAUGGUUUCUCCAAACAUGAUGACCCAGCCAAAGAUAUCCAAGAACGAGCUGAGACUUCGCUGGGAACCUCCUUGGAUGGACGCUGUUCUACUUACCCGGUUAGAAACGUUGCACCGAACAAGGAGAUGAUGUGCAUUAGUUUCCAGAUUCCAGCUGAUGUCCUGUACAAGAGGCCCUGCCCUGUGGAAGAGAAACCAGCCUCUAAACGUCUGCGUACCAGCAAAGAUUUUUCUGAAGAGAUGUUACAGAGUUGAAGAUUAGAGUUAUGGUUUGAUGUUUGAGAAUAUUGGAUUAUUGUAAGCAGAUGCACAAGCAGCUCUUUGAGUCCAGAGCUGAAUCCAGGAGGGCCUGCAGCUAUCUCACAUGUCCUGGGAAUAGGAGACGUGCUGCUAGGUGUUUACGAUACAGGAAAUGAAGAAUUCUCACUGCUUCUGGCAUCUAGAGAAAUAUCUGAAAUAGGUCUGGCAAUGGUGGCAGCCAUCUACCACGAGGUAAGGAAUGCAUAAAUAAAGGGCACAGAAACUUUUAGGCCUCACCGGUGAGAGGAGAAGAGGAAGGGCGACCUUAGAGACAGCAGGCAGAAAGCAGCACUCGUCUCAGGGCUACACUACCACAGUCUGCAAGUGCUGUGAGUGGUCUCUAACGGGCUGUACGGUUGAGCCCUACAACACCCAGCCACAAGGCUUUCUGUCUAAGGUCAGGCCACCUCUACACCUCAGCCUUCUAUGUAAUGUUACCUGUCGACAUCUAUUCUGGGCACAAACAAUGGGAUUUCAGAGAAAGGGAGAUGGAAAUGUUGGCGUCUCCCUCCCCCUUCCUUAAUAAAGGAAGCACUAAGUCUGGAAUAGAGCUUAUUCUUCACUUUAUUACAAGUUAGAAAAAAAAAUACACUCAUUUACUACACUCUUCAGAGCAAUAUUUAACAACCAUUAACAGAUGACCCAUAAAAAGUGGUCCAGGCUUUCCUCUAGAGGUGUUCAUCGUCCUGAGUCGUUUCCGGUCUCCUGCAGUUUAUAUAUAUUUGUGGGAACAACCAACCUCGAGAGAGGAACCUCAUCUCUGCUGUAACGGGUCUACGUUCCGCUACAAAGAGAGGGGAAGGAAGACGCAAGAGUAGCAGACUGGAUGGCAAGGAUCAUCCCGAAAGCCAGACAAAGGGAUGUUCAAGCCCCAAAAGCUCCUGAACAGUUGACAAAAAACUUGCAAACUGAGCUGAAUAGGAAGAAACUAAACCAAUUUUGACUUAGUUUUCAUGAACUAGCUUUGUUUCAAGGCCUCUUACAGUGCUUCUGCAGGAAAUCAGUUGAAAAGUUCAGCUAAAGAUAAUGCUUCUGUUUUCUGGACAAAGGUAACAAACAAGUGACAUCAGGAAGGAUCCUACAUAAGAGUUGUGUCAGCAUAGUUCAGAGUUUCUCAUCUCAUCCAGCUGGCAGGAGAAAAAAAAACACUUGUCUGAACUGGGGAAACUAGUUUUAUGGGAAGAAAAUGUAGGCUUGAAUAUUGACACUAAAUGUUAUAAUCAAAAUGGCAUUUAAAUGCUUGUGCAAAUAAAACCCUGCAAUAAGAAUAAAACCACGAACUUUAAUAAAAAAAAGUCUGGCUUUAUUUUAAAAAA